GCUGCCCCAGACGCGCUCGGGAAUAGCCGGAGAGAUGCUCGCCAGGAGACGCAGACGCGCCUCUAAGCAGCCCCUGCCUUCGGGACGGGAUCGAGCAGGUCAAGCUGCUACUCAAGUUGCUGGCAGUUCUCUUUGGGUCAGCUGGCAACCCUCCACAGUUACAGCUCAAGGCUUUGAACACCUUGCAACACCUCGUGACUCUCUUGUUUUCGUCCUCAGGAAAAGAUUGUAUCUGGGGAGAGGAAGGAAUGUAUGUCUUGCCUGGCACCCUUUGCCAUAUUCCUGUCAGGAGGGGGAGAUGUCAAGGUUCACAAUUCAUGGGAAACACCUCACUCAACAAGCAAAAAACUCUUUCUAAGACAGAGAUUCCAAGAAGGCGUCCGCCAGGCAGAGAAGGGGAUUAUGCUGUGGUCUGGACCACUGUUCUGUUGCAUUAUCUGCGCACCUGCAAAAUUUUCACAUAAAACUGUCUUUUGAGAUACUUAAACUCACCUGUAAAUGUGAUGUCGUGGCCAUAGGAAUAAGGGCCUGGCUUGCAGGGAACUUGUCAAGAUGGAGAACUGAGACUAAGGAGGAGUGACCAGCCCAAGGCCAAGCAAAGGGCAGUUUCCAGGAAGGAAAUCGAGGAAUCGACCUGUCGUUUACAUGCAUUCCCAAUAUUUUCAAGGCAGAUGGUGAAAGGUAGCUGUGUGUUACAUGAAACUCUGGCACCAUCACACCCAGCUUCUCCUUUCAGGAAUAUUGCACAGUUCUGAUUGCCACAUUCCAAAGACACAGGGAUACAGAUAGAUCCCUUAUGCCCAGUAUUGUCUACACUUUCUGCAUGCAAGGCAGAUGUUCUGCCACUGAGCUAUAGGACCCUUCCCAAGACAAAGCUUGUUCUUUCCAUUUGUAUAUGUUCUUCAGUUUUAUGGGUGGCGCUUUUUUUAGUCUGAUGUGCAUUGUUGCAUUUGUUCAAUAUAUAUUGCAUUUAUAUACUGUGUGCAAACUGCUUUCAUGUCACAUUAUUCUGAUAAUGGAAUCAUAUAAUCAUAGAAUUGAAAGGGACCCUGAGGGUCAUCUAGUCCAGCCCCCGCCAUGCAGAAAUCUUAACUAGAUCAUACAGGGCAGGUGGUCAUCCAGCCUCUGCUUUAAAACUUCAAAGGAAGGAGAGUCCGCCACUGUUUGUUCCACUGUUGACACCACAAUG